AUGAACGCUGGCGGCGUGCUUAACACAUGCAAGUCGAACGGGAAUUAUUUUAUUGAAACUUCGGUCGAUUUUAUUUAAUUCUAGUGGCGGACGGGUGAGUAACGCGUGGGUAACCUGCCUUAUACAGGGGGAUAACAGUCAGAAAUGGCUGCUAAUACCGCAUAAGCGCACAGAGCUGCAUGGCUCAGUGUGAAAAACUCCGGUGGUAUAAGAUGGACCCGCGUUGGAUUAGCUUGUUGGCAGGGUAACGGCCUACCAAGGCGACGAUCCAUAGCCGGCCUGAGAGGGUGAACGGCCACAUUGGGACUGAGACACGGCCCAGACUCCUACGGGAGGCAGCAGUGGGGAAUAUUGCACAAUGGGGGAAACCCUGAUGCAGCGACGCCGCGUGAAGGAAGAAGUAUCUCGGUAUGUAAACUUCUAUCAGCAGGGAAGAUAGUGACGGUACCUGACUAAGAAGCCCCGGCUAACUACGUG
rnacentral:rRNA from 1 species